rnacentral:tRNA from 1 species
UCCGGGGUAGCAACUGUUGGUAGUCGCAUCUGGCUCUGAACCAGAAGGUCGCAGGUUCGAUUCCUGUCCCCGCUGC